UACGAAGGGGGCUAGCGUUGUUCGGAUUUACUGGGCGUAAAGAGCGCGCAGGCGGUCGUAUAAGUCGAAUGUGAAAUCCCCAGGCUUAACCUGGGAACUGCAUCCGAUACUGGUCGGCUUGAAUCCGGGAGAGGGAUGCAGAAUUCCAGGUGUAGCGGUGAAAUGCGUAGAUAUCUGGAGGAAUACCGGUGGCGAAGGCGGCAUCCUGGACCGGCAUUGACGCUGAACAGCGAAAGCUAGGGGAGCAAACGGG
rnacentral:rRNA from 1 species